rnacentral:rRNA from 1 species
UCGAAUGGAGUGGCCAUUCGGGGUACUCGAGUGGCGAACGGGUGAGUAACACGUGGGUGAUCUGCCCUGCACUUUGGGAUAAGCCUGGGAAACUGGGUCUAAUACCGAAUAUGAUCAUCGGCUUCAUGGUCGGUGGUGGAAAGCUUUUGCGGUGUGGGAUGGGCCCGCGGCCUAUCAGCUUGUUGGUGGGGUAAUGGCCUACCAAGGCGACGACGGGUAGCCGGCCUGAGAGGGUGACCGGCCACACUGGGACUGAGAUACGGCCCAGACUCCUACGGGAGGCAGCAGUGGGGAAUAUUGCACAAUGGGCGCAAGCCUGAUGCAGCGACGCCGCGUGAGGGAUGACGGCCUUCGGGUUGUAAACCUCUUUCAGCACAGACGAAGCGCAAGUGACGGUAUGUGCAGAAGAAGGACCGGCCAACUACGUGCCAGCAGCCGCGGUAAUACGUAGGGUCCGAGCGUUGUCCGGAAUUACUGGGCGUAAAGAGCUCGUAGGUGGUUUGUCGCGUUGUUCGUGAAAACUCACAGCUUAACUGUGGGCGUGCGGGCGAUACGGGCAGACUAGAGUACUGCAGGGGAGACUGGAAUUCCUGGUGUAGCGGUGGAAUGCGCAGAUAUCAGGAGGAACACCGGUGGCGAAGGCGGGUCUCUGGGCAGUAACUGACGCUGAGGAGCGAAAGCGUGGGGGAGCGAACAGGAUUAGAUACCCUGGUAGUCCACGCCGUAAACGGUGGGUACUAGGUGUGGGUUUCCUUCCUUGGGAUCCGUGCCGUAGCUAACGCAUUAAGUACCCCGCCUGGGGAGUACGGCCGCAAGGCUAAAACUCAAAGGAAUUGACGGGGGCCCGCACAAGCGGCGGAGCAUGUGGAUUAAUUCGAUGCAACGCGAAGAACCUUACCUGGGUUUGACAUGCAA